GACGAACGCUGGCGGCGUGCUUAACACAUGCAAGUCGAACGGUGAAAGCGGAGCUUGCUCCGCUGGAUCAGUGGCGAACGGGUGAGUAACACGUGGACAACCUGCCCCUCACUUCGGGAUAACUCCGGGAAACCGGGGCUAAUACCGGAUAUGACCUCCUUGGGCAUCCUUGGAGGUGGAAAGUUUUUCGGUGAGGGAUGGGCCCGCGGCCUAUCAGCUUGUUGGUGAGGUAGUGGCUCACCAAGGCGACGACGGGUAGCCGGCCUGAGAGGGCGACCGGCCACACUGGGACUGAGACACGGCCCAGACUCCUACGGGAGGCAGCAGUGGGGAAUAUUGCGCAAUGGGCGAAAGCCUGACGCAGCAACGCCGCGUGCGGGAUGACGGCCUUCGGGUUGUAAACCGCUUUCAGCAGGGAAGAAGCCGCAAGGUGACGGUACCUGCAGAAGAAGCACCGGCUAACUCUGUGCCAGCCGCCGCCGUAAGAC
rnacentral:rRNA from 1 species